rnacentral:lncRNA from 1 species
AUGUAUCUCUCCAGAAAUAAGUCUCUCACUGUUGCCGCCUGUUAUAGAUCCCCCUCAGCUUCCAGCUGUGCCCUGGACACCAUAUGUGAAUUGAUUGCCCCUCAUCUAUCUUCAGAGUUCAUUCUGUUAAGUGACCUAAACUGGGAUAUGCUUAACACCCCGAAAGUCCUACAAUCUAAGCUAGAUGCCCUCAAUCUGACACAAAUCAUCAAGGAACCCACCAGGUACAACCCUAAAUCCGUAAACUUGCCCUCUAAAUACACUUCUGCUGUUUUCAAUCAGGAUCUCAGUGAUCACUGCCUCAUUGCCUGCAUCCGCUAUGGGUCCGCGGUCAAACGACCACCCCUCAUCACUGUCAAACGCUCCCUAAAACACUUCUGCGAGCAGGCUUUUCUAAUCGACCUGGCCCGAGUAUCCUGGAAGGAUAUUGACCUCAUCCCGUCAGUCGAGGAUGCCUGGUUGUUCUUUAAAAGUAAUUUCCUCACCAUCUUAAAUCAGCAUGCCCCUUUCAAAAAAUGUAGAACUAAGAACAGAUAUAGCCAUUGGUUCACUCCAGACCUGACUGCCCUUGACAAGCACAAAAACAUCCUGUGGCGGACUGCAAUAGCAUCGAAUAGUUCCCACGAUAUGCAACUGUUCAGGGAAGUCAGGAACCAAUACACGCAGUCAGUCAGGAAAGCAAAAGCUAGCUUUUGCAAACAAAAAUUUGCAUCCUGUAGCUCUAACUCCAAAAAGUUUUGGGACACUGUAAAGUCCAUGGUGAACAAGAGCACCUCCUCCCAGCUGCCCACUGCACUGGGGCUAGGUAACACGGUCACCACCGAUAAAUUCAUGAUAAUCGAACAUUUCAAUAAGCAUUUCUCUGGCAUGCCAUGCCUGCCGCAUGGCUACCCCGGCCAACAGCUCCGCCCCCCUCCCCCCACAGCUACUUGCCCGAGCCUCCCCAGCUUCUCCUUCACCCAAAUCCAGAUAGCAGAUGUUCUGAAAGAGCUGCAAAACCUGGACCUGUACAAAUCAACUGGGCUAGACAAUCUGGACCCUCUCUUUCUAAAACUAUCUGCUUCCAUUGCUGCAACCCCUAUUACCAUUCUGUUCAACCUCUCUUUUGUAUCGUCCGAGAUCCCUAAAGAUUGGAAAGCUGCCGCGGUCAUCCCCCUCUUCAAAGGGGGUGACACUAUAGAUCCAAACUGUUAUAGACCUAUAUCCAUCCUGCCCUGUCUCUCUAAAGUCUUCGAAAACCAAGUUAAUAAACAGAUCACUGACCAUUUCCAAUCCCACCGUACCUUCUCCGCUGUGCAAUCCGGUUUCCGAGCUGGUCAUAGGUGCUCCUCAGCCACGCUCAAGGUACUAAACAAUAUCAUAACCACCAUCGAUAAAAGACAGUACUGUGCAGCCGUCUUCAUCAACCUGGCCAAGGCUUUCGACUCUGUCAAUCAUCGUUUUCUGAUCGGCAAACUCAACAACCUUGGUUUCUCAAAUGACUGCCUUGCCUGGUUCACCAACUACUUCACAGAUAGAGUUCAGUGUGUCAUAUUGGAGGGCCUGUUGUCCGGACCACUGGCAGUCUCUAUGAGGGUACCACAGGGUUAA